GAUGAAGAACGUAGCGAAAUGCGAUAAGUAAUGUGAAUUGCAGAAUUCAGUGAAUCAUCGAAUCUUUGAACGCACAUUGCGCCCGCCAAUAUUCUGGCGGGCAUGCCUGUUCGAGCGUCAUUACAACCCUCAGGCCCCCGGGCCUGGCGUUGGGGAUCGGCGGAAGCCCCCUGCGGGCACAACGCCGUCCCCCAAAUACAGUGGCGGUCCCGCCGCAGCUUCCAUUGCGUAGUAGCUAACACCUCGCAACUGGAGAGCGGCGCGGCCACGCCGUAAAACACCCAACUUCUGAAUGUUGACCUCGAAUCAGGUAGGAAUACCCGCUGAACUUAAGCAUAUCAAUAAGCGGAGGA
rnacentral:misc_RNA from 1 species